CACGUAGGGGGCGAGCGUUGUCCGGAUUUAUUGGGCGUAAAGAGCUCGUAGGCGGCUUUGUCAGUCGGGUGUGAAACCUCCAGGCUCAACCUGGAGCCGCCACCCGAUACUGCAAUAGCUAGAGUCCGGUAGGGGAGCAUGGAACUCCUGGUGUAGCGGUGAAAUGCGCAGAUAUCAGGAAGAACACCAGUGGCGAAGGCGGCGCUCUGGGCCGGAACUGACGCUGAGGAGCGAAAGCGUGGGGAGCAAACAGG
rnacentral:rRNA from 1 species